rnacentral:rRNA from 1 species
UACGGGGGGUGCGAGCGUUGUCCGGAAUCAUUGGGCGUAAAGGGCGCGUAGGUGGCGGGACAAGCGUGCGGUGAAAGCUCGGGGCUCAACCCCGCGUCGGCCGUGCGAACUGUUUUGCUUGAGCACUGUAGAGGCAGGCGGAAUUCCGGGUGUAGCGGUGGAAUGCGUAGAGAUCCGGAAGAACACCGGUGGCGAAGGCGGCCUGCUGGGCAGUAGCUGACACUGAGGCGCGACAGCGUGGGGAGCAAACAGG